rnacentral:rRNA from 1 species
GCUAGCGGCAGGCUUAAUACAUGCAAGUCGUGGGGCAGCAGCUCUGUAGCAAUACAGAGGCUGGCGACCGGCAAACGGGUGCGGAACACGUACACAACCUUCCUUUGAGUGGGGAAUAGCCCGGGGAAACCCGGAUUAAUACCCCGUAACAUAAUGAAGUGGCAUCACUUUAUUAUUAUAGCAGCAAUGCGCUUAUAGAUGGGUGUGCGACUGAUUAGGCAGUUGGCGGGGUAACGGCCCACCAAACCUACGAUCAGUAACUGGUGUGAGAGCACGACCAGUCACACGGGCACUGAGACACGGGCCCGACUCCUACGGGAGGCAGCAGUAAGGAAUAUUGGUCAAUGGACGCAAGUCUGAACCAGCCAUGCCGCGUGGAGGAUGAAGGUCCUCUGGAUUGUAAACUUCUUUUAUCUGGGAAGAAAUCCACGAAUUCUUUUGUGGUUGACGGUACCAGACGAAUAAGCACCGGCUAACUCCGUGCCAGCAGCCCCGGUAAUAC